rnacentral:tRNA from 1 species
GGGUAGGUAGCAGAGCGGUCAAAUGCAUCAGACUGUAAAUCUGACGCCCUACGGGCUACGGGGGUUCGAAUCCCUCCCUACCCA